UGUCCUUCGCGAAUCUUUUUGCGGUCUGGGCUUGCUGUUCAUAACUAAUAAGCUGGGAAGCCCUUACCCCAAAAAGCAUUCGCGGAGGGCGCGC
rnacentral:pre_miRNA from 10 species